rnacentral:tRNA from 1 species
GUCCCUGUAGUAUAGUCUGGAUAGUACACAACCCUGCGGAGGUUGGAGCCCAGGUUCAAAUCCUGGCUGGGACG